GAGCAACACCAGACUUGAUGGUUUCUUAUAUCGAUUUUUUCCUAGGAGGUGAUGAGAAACGAUUAGACAUAGUAGCUAGUAUACAGAAGAGAUUUCCCAUGUGCAUUAUCUUCGGUGGGGAUGGAAGUUACAUGUCACCAUAUUAUCUUCAUAGUGACACAUCAUUGACAAAUCUCCUUGCUCAGCAUGUGCCUUCGACUGUAUGGAAUCGCCUGGUAGCUGGUUUAAAUGCCCAGUUAAGAACUGUGAGGCAUGGGUCAAUCCGCUCUGCACUCCUUCCUGUCUUGAAUUGGAUUAAAAGUCAUGGAAACCCCCAGAUUGAGUUUCAUGGUGUUAAGAUUGAGCUUGGGUGGUUUCAAGCAACCGCUAGCGGGUACUACCAAUUGGGUAUUUUGGUACUGGCUGGUGAUCAUUCUUUGUAUGAUCUUACACAAGCUGAAAACUCAGGAAGCUGUGAUGACUGCUCAAGAUUAUCUUACAGGAAGGUUCCAAAAAUAGUACGAAGGAAUCUUAAGCAGCCUCAAGAAAGCCAGCAAUGUGCGAGCCAUGCAUUAUCCCGCAAAAAGAUCACUGGUGGAAUGAAUGGUGGUCUCAUAAAUGAUAUUACUGUGCAAUCCCUUGAUUUUAGAAGGGAUUACCUCUUCCCAUGUUCUUUGCUAUUGCACAAUACCCGCCCAGUUGGUCGUCAGGACACUGUACAGCUGCUGAUCACUAUCUUACUAUUGGCAGAUCUAUUUGUUACCCUUCUUACUUUAGUUUUGUUCUAUUGGGUAUCACUGGGGGCUUUUCUAGCUGUACUGCUUAUCCUCCCUUUAUCUUUGCUUUCACCUUUCCCCGCUGGCCUGAAUGCCUUGUUCAGCAAAGGUCCGAAAAGAGCUACUCUUGCUCGAGUUUAUGCACUGUGGAACGCUACAUCUUUAUCCAAUAUUGCUGUUGCGUUUAUCUGCGGUGCAAUCCACUAUGGAGUUGCUGCAUUGAAGCCCCCAGAUGAUGAAAGUAGUUGGGUUACGAAAAGGGAAGAUGACAAAUGGUGGCUUUUUCCUACGAUUCUGCUGCUAUUUAAGUCUGUUCAAGCUCGAUUUGUUGAUUGGCAUGUAGCAAAUUUAGAAGUUCAAGAUUUUUCUCUAUUCAGUCCAGAUCCUGAUACGUUUUGGGCGUAUGAAGCUGUUUCUUGACAUGAAGAUCUUUGGAUAUAGGAUGGAGAAAUUGUGCAAAUUUUUGGAGUGGCACUUGGAAUUUUGACCUGUAUAUAUAUGUCCAAAUCAGUAUAAAAGCAUUGGUAUACAUGUGCAGUUUUCUUUGAUGUAAUUAGUGUUUUAAGGAGAACAUGAAUAGGGGUUUAGAGAGAGGAUUUUUUUCAGUAGAGGGUUUUUCCUUGUAAAGGGAAUGUAUAGAUGAUUUAAAUUAUUUUUGAGAGAACAUAGAUGGAAUAGGACCAAGUAUUUCUCUUCUUUAUUUAACUUUUUAAGUUUCUAGUUAG
rnacentral:misc_RNA from 1 species